rnacentral:rRNA from 1 species
ACGGGGUGCAGCAGGCGCGAAAACUUUACAAUGCCGGCAACGGCGAUAAGGGGACCUCGAGUGCCAGGUUACAAAUCUGGCUGUCGUGAUGCCUAAAAAGCAUUGCAUAGCAAGGGCCGGGCAAGACCGGUGCCAGCCGCCGCGGUAACACCGGCGGCUCGAGUGGUAACCGUUAUUAUUGGGUCUAAAGGGUCUGUAGCCGGCCGGAUAAGUCUCUUGGGAAAUCCAGCAGCUCAACUGUUGGGCUUCCAGGAGAUACUGUUCGGCUCGAGGCCGGGAGAGGUGAGAGGUACUUCAGGGGUAGGGGUGAAAUCUUGUAAUCCUUGAAGGACCACCAGUGGCGAAGGCGUCUCACCAGAACGGACCUGACGGCAAGGGACGAAAGCUAGGGGCACGAACCGGAUUAGAUACCCGGGUAGUCCUAGCCGUAAACGAUACUCGCUAGGUGUCGGCCACGGUGCGACCGUUGUCGGUGCCGUAGGGAAGCCGUGAAGCGAGCCACCUGGGAAGUACGGCCGCAAGGCUGAAACU